rnacentral:rRNA from 1 species
GACGAACGCUGGCGGCGUGCUUAACACAUGCAAGUCGAGCGGUAAGGCCCUUUCGGGGGUACACGAGCGGCGAACGGGUGAGUAACACGUGGGUGACCUGCCUUUAGCUCUGGGAUAAGCCUGGGAAACCGGGUCUAAUACCGGAUAUGACUCCGCGGCGCAUGUUGUGGGGUGGAAAGCCUUGUGCGGCUGGAGAUGGGCCCGCGGCCUAUCAGCUUGUUGGUGGGGUGAUGGCCUACCAAGGCGACGACGGGUAGCCGGCCUGAGAGGGCGACCGGCCACACUGGGA